GUCAGUUGCCCCAUUCACACAACUAAGGAGUGUCAGAUCAGGAAUUCAGCCCACAUGUCUGACUUUAAAGGCCAUGUUCCUGAAACAGUCCUUGGCUGCCCCCAGUCUCCAGACCCGUCUCUCUUUCUUCCUAUGUGUACUUAGAGUUCUGGUUAUCAAUUUCCUUAAUCCUCCAAGGUGCUUCAUCUUUAUCUUUUCCUACCUUUCUUUUUCAUAUUUUACAGUGACAUUUCUAUUUAAGUUAAUUCCAUUCCUCUCCUUCCUCCUCAGUGGUGAUCUCAGCCUCUUAAAAUUUACCCAUUGCUAUGAAAGGUCACUUUCUUUGUGACACCUCCCUUGACCUUCUUGUUUCUUCUGCAAAACAGCAACUGUGACCUCCCUCUGCCUGAAUGGACAUAUCUUCUCUGAUUUUUAUCAUAUAUGCAUAAUUUAUAGCAGAUAUCUAUGCAUCUACAGGAGAAACCAGGACAUUAUGUUCAAAAGUUCCCCAGAGAUCAUCUUGCUGACACUGUUUUCAGAGCCCCAGGGUUUAAGGGAGGCAGUUCCAGACUUGACUGAUGGAGGCAGCCUGGAGAGGCUGAGUGAGUGGACCUGACCUCCUUACACACACCCACACCACUUCACACAGAGGAUCCCCUUUUUAUUCCUUUUAUACCCUGGGAUAAAUGUCUAAAUACAUUCCCAUAAUCAGUUAUUGUCUCUUCUCUCCCACUAGAACUCUGGUAUUUUGUGGGAAGGGAGUCUUCUGGCUAGGGUGUCUCUAGCUUGGGGCUUAUCUGAUACAGAGUGACUUAAUUUAUCUGGACUUAGAUAUUUUACCUUUAGGCAUGGAUGGUAAGUAUUCUUUCCCUUUUAAAGGUACAAGAACAGAGGCCCACCUCACCAAAGUCAUCUGUCCUAGUUCAUAGAGUUAGUGAGUAGAGAAGUCAAGAUCUGUCUGGCUCAGAUUCUGAAAUGGGAUUGACCAAGGUUCAAAUCCCAGCCGACCUCUAAGUAGCUUGGUGUUCUGGCAAGUGACUCAAUCUUCUGAGUCUUGCCUCUUGUAACAGGCAUAGCCAUACCUCACACUGUUCCUAGGAUCACACACUGUGACCUAGAUGUCUGGGUUUCAACCCAAGUCGGCUGUUUUCACUAUGCUGCACUAUCUACUAGAGAAAACUUCCUGAGAAAAUGCUAGGUAUUGUAACUUCUGAACUAUCUUCAGCAACAGAUUCAAAAAUACAUCAUUCUGAGACUUUUCCCCCACUCAGCCUGUGUGAUUUUUAAACUGUUCAGAAAGCUAUGCAAUUUCUGUCAGGGAGAGAGCAAGUCAAGGCUCUUACAUGAAACAGUGAUACAGCAAGUGACGCAUAAUGCUAUUGUCUGACUUCUUGUGACCCUCCAAAAUCCUUAUGUUGGAACCUAAUCUCCCAUGUGAUUAUAUUAAGUGGUGGAGUCCUCGAGGAGGUGAUUAAGUCAAAGGGUAGAAUCUGCACCAAUGGCAUUAGUGCCCUUAUAAUAUAGGCCAAAGUGUUUGCUUGCUUCUCCCACCAUGUGAGGAUACAUCAAAGGUACCAUCUAUGAAGCAGAGUCAGACCUCCCCAGAAACCACAGCUAUUAGCACCUUGACCUUGGACCUUUUGACCUUCAGAACUAUGAGAAAUAAAUUGCUGUUGCUUAUAAAUCAUUCAGUCUAAGAUAUUUUGUUAGAGCAGCCCAAAUGGACCAGGACAUAUAGCAUAUGAUAACAAGGCCUGGCAAUUUUGUUCUGCUAAAGAAAUUCCCUCCUCACUAAAAUAUCUGAAUUGAAGUAGUAUUCUACUCCUUUGCCUCUGAGCCUCUAAGUUCCCAAC
rnacentral:lncRNA from 1 species